GUCUGUCAUUGCUGCUUACCUGGGACAGCCACAGAGGCCUCUAAUUGUUGGGAGAGGCUGUGGGCGGCCGGAUAGGAAUCUUGGAAUAGGCUGCUGCCUUCCCAGCAGGGAGAGCCCAGCCACCUAGGAGAAAGAGGAAGAAGAUGAGCAGGAGAGGAGAAGGAAAAAGAAGGGAAAGAUAGGAAAGAAGCAGGGACCUCUGUGCAGCUCCAAGGACUGCAGAGAUGAGCCUGGGGUCAGCAGACAAGAAGGACUUUUACCAGCCAAAGUCGGAGAGCAGCCUCGCUAGGUUUGCCCACCGCUUGUCGGUGAAGCAGAAGCAGGAGAAGAGAAGGAAAGCUGAGUAUGGCUCAGCCGAGCUGUCUGCCUUCCGGCCCAGGUCUUUGAGCAUUGAAUGGUAAGAGCUGCAGGACAGGGCUGUGACAAGGAGCUCCUGCCUCUCCAGUCACCCUCCUGUCCUCUUUCCCCACUGCUGCCACUCUCCGUCCCUGUCAGCACAAUGUCCCAUGGGACAACACCUCCUCAAAGCUCUCUCCUGCUGCAGAGCUYCCCCAGAGCUCUGUAUCAAACCAGAACAUCCCCCACCUGGGCCAGUGCAGGGAGCAGGAGGGAUUCUCGGGCUUCUUCCUUGGGGAGCUGGAAGUCUGUCAGGGCUCAUGUGGGUAAUGGAAGUGUCUGCGAGGC